AUAAUGUCAGCUUAUCCUAAGGCUGUCCAAGUACUUAAUUUACUUAAGUGUUCAUUUUAACUAACGUGCUCACUGUGUAUAGGAAUUUGUAUUUUGUAGGUGCUUGGUCUAUCUACAAAUAUCAUUAUUGUAGUUUAAAAGUUGUACAUGAUAAGAUAUUUUGAUUUUAGUAAUGUAUAUUUUUACUGAAUGAUCUAUUCCCCAUCCCAAGGCAAGCAUGAAUAAAAUUAGGUUAAACGUAGCAUGUGGCAUCACAG
rnacentral:lncRNA from 1 species